rnacentral:rRNA from 1 species
UACGGAGGGGGCUAGCGUUGUUCGGAAUUACUGGGCGUAAAGCGCACGUAGGCGGCUUUGUAAGUUAGAGGUGAAAGCCCGGGGCUCAACUCCGGAAUUGCCUUUAAGACUGCAUCGCUCGAAUUGUGGAGAGGUAAGUGGAAUUCCGAGUGUAGAGGUGAAAUUCGUAGAUAUUCGCGAGAACACCAGUGGCGAAGGCGGCUCACUGGCCCGAUACUGACGCUGAGGCACGAAAGCGUGGGGAGCAAACAGG